rnacentral:rRNA from 1 species
AUAGUCCUACGGGGCGCAGCAGUGAGGAAUAUUGGUCAAUGGGCGAGAGCCUGAACCAGCCAAGUCGCGUGAGGGAAGACGGCCCUACGGGUUGUAAACCUCUUUUGUCAGGGAGCAAGAACGGAUACGUGUAUCCGAGCGAGAGUACCUGAAGAAAAAGCAUCGGCUAACUCCGUGCCAGCAGCCGCGGUAAUACGGAGGAUGCGAGCGUUAUCCGGAUUUAUUGGGUUUAAAGGGUGCGUAGGCGGCCCCCCCCCCCCCC